AUUGAACGCUGGCGGCAGGCCUAACACAUGCAAGUCGGACGGUAGCACAGAGGAGCUUGCUCCUCGGGUGACGAGUGGCGGACGGGUGAGUAAUGUCUGGGGAUCUGCCCGAUAGAGGGGGAUAACCACUGGAAACGGUGGCUAAUACCGCAUAACGUCGCAAGACCAAAGAGGGGGACCUUCGGGCCUCUCACUAUCGGAUGAACCCAGAUGGGAUUAGCUAGUAGGCGGGGUAACGGCUCACCUAGGCGACGAUCCCUAGCUGGUCUGAGAGGAUGACCAGCCACACUGGAACUGAGACACGGUCCAGGCUCCUACGGGAGGCAGCAGUGGGGAAUAUUGCACAAUGGGCGCAAGCCUGAUGCAGCCAUGCCGCGUGUAUGAAGAAGGCCUUCGGGUUGUAAAGUACUUUCAGCGGGGAGGAAGGCGAUGUGGUUAAUAACCGCGUCGAUUGACGUUACCCGCAGAAGAAGCACCGGCUAACUCCGUGCCAGCAGCCGCCGUAA
rnacentral:rRNA from 1 species